ACGACUCAACUUCCAGCAGCGGCGCAGUAAUCCCCUUCCGUGCUUGUCACGACAUCCUCCACUAGUUGGAUUUAGUGUGUAUUUGUAGUGACCAAGUGUGAAGCUAGCUACCAUGGAUAGAAGUUGGAUGGAUGCGCCUAGGCAUACAGAGAAGUACUUACAAGGGCUCGCCAAAUUCCUAGGCUUUGCAUUUAAUAAAUCAUCGGUCGAGAAUAAAAUCUUAUGUCCUUGCAAAAACUGUGUGAACUCAUACUGGAGAGAAGAGUCUGAAGUCCGUGAGCACCUGGUAUGCGAGGGAUUUGUAGAUGG